rnacentral:rRNA from 1 species
GAGCUUGCUCCACCGGAAAAAGAAGAGUGGCGAACGGGUGAGUAACACGUGGGUAACCUGCCCAUCAGAAGGGGAUAACACUUGGAAACAGGUGCUAAUACCGUAUAACAAUCAAAACCGCAUGGUUUUGAUUUGAAAGGCGCUUUCGGGUGUCGCUGAUGGAUGGACCCGCGGUGCAUUAGCUAGUUGGUGAGGUAACGGCUCACCAAGGCCACGAUGCAUAGCCGACCUGAGAGGGUGAUCGGCCACAUUGGGACUGAGACACGGCCCAAACUCCUACGGGAGGCAGCAGUAGGGAAUCUUCGGCAAUGGACGAAAGUCUGACCGAGCAACGCCGCGUGAGUGAAGAAGGUUUUCGGAUCGUAAAACUCUGUUGUUAGAGAAGAACAAGGAUGAGAGUAACUGUUCAUCCCUUGACGGUAUCUAACCAGAAAGCCACGGCUAACUACGUGCCAGCAGCCGCGGUAAUACGUAGGUGGCAAGCGUUGUCCGGAUUUAUUGGGCGUAAAGCGAGCGCAGGCGGUUUCUUAAGUCUGAUGUGAAAGCCCCCGGCUCAACCGGGGAGGGUCAUUGGAAACUGGGAGACUUGAGUGCAGAAGAGGAGAGUGGAAUUCCAUGUGUAGCGGUGAAAUGCGUAGAUAUAUGGAGGAACACCAGUGGCGAAGGCGGCUCUCUGGUCUGUA